rnacentral:rRNA from 1 species
UACAGAGACUGCAAGCGUUAUUCGGAUUCACUGGGCGUAAAGGGUGCGCAGGCGGCUGGUCAAGUCCGAUGUGAAAUCUCCCGGCUUAACUGGGAAACUGCAUCGGAAACUGAUCGGCUUGAAGGUGGGAGAGGGUAGUGGAAUUCCCGGUGUAGUGGUGAAAUGCGUAGAUAUCGGGAGGAACACCAGUGGCGAAGGCGACUACCUGGCCCAUUCUUGACGCUGAGGCGCGAAAGCUAGGGGAGCGAACGGG